rnacentral:sRNA from 2 species
CAGACUGAGCCCGGAUUGCUUGUUUUUUUAUCAAAGAAGCUUCCGCAACUACUACUUUUUCAUUUAUAACGUCUCGCGAGCUGCUACGCGGACCAGCAGAAGGAUCCUGACAAUAAGCCAAGGGAGCUUGGAUUGCGGGAAAGGGGAUUAGAACUUGAUUAAUUGAUUGAAAGGAGAAAUGAAUGCCUUCUAGACCUAAAGCUACCAAGGGGAUGAAAACCGCAGCUAGCAAUGAUGAAACUGAAUACAAACCUACCUUUGGGGCACCGAGCGCCACGAUUGAUGAUACCUUGAUACGAAUGAUUGAAUAUCUGAAAAAACCGAAAUGAAUGGCUGCACAGAACGGACACAAUGAUAGAAAGAUCUAUAACAAAAGCUGAAUGAAGACUCUGUCCACAAGAGAUUCAGAGGAUGUCAAACAAGGGGACGAUGAUGAGAUGAAUCAACUGACUACGCGAGCCACUGCCACAACUCCUCCAACUACUGAAGAAUAACCCUGCAAAAACUACCGAAGAAUCUCCUGCAAGAACCGUUCUAAUGCCUACAAGAAUCACCAACAGAACGGCCAUGAGAGCCGCAAAGAUACCCAUGAUAAGAUUGGCCAUCAAGAAUACCACCACCACCACCACCGCUGAUGAACGAACCAAACGUCGAUACUACUACCACGAACCGAAGCCUCACGAAUGCCGAAAAAAUAUAGAAUGAUACGAAGAAUAGAUUGAUUCAUAUGAUAAAUAAUGAUGGAUUUGAGCACUAAUCAUGGCAAUGUAAUUUCAUGUAUCAGGCCUAGUUCUAAUGAGGGAUCUAGGUGCUACUUUGUGUAAUUGAUUAUGAUGAUUGCGGAUUUGAGCGAUUUGAGAUUGAGAUUGAGAUUUGAUAGCCCAGGGGAGGAGCCUAGGCUUCCUAGUAUGGCCUGGCACCGUUCCAACACUUCCUGUUAGGUCCCUCUGUAGGAGAUUGCCUGUAGAUGCCGCGUUCUUCUUCCCUUAGUCGGUGUUUCUCUGUCUUUAUUCCCCUUGGCAGACGCCAUUCGGGGCCCGGGUAAGGGGCGAUCUGGUUCAGUCAAAUCGGUGUCAGAGCUGGGAUCGUACACUGGAUCGUUGUCUGUGUCGGAGCAUGUGCUGGGGGUCAUUUCGCUCGUAGUGUGCGGGCGGCUACCGCGAGAAAAAAAAAAUGAUAAUAAAUGACAAGUAGAUAAGAAACGAAAAAAUGAAGGGAGAAAAGAAAACCAAUUGAAAGAAAUGAAUAAAUAAAUAGCUGGGCCAAAUGAUAGCAAAACUUCGUCCAGGAAGAGAUAGAUAUCUAUAUACAAUACACAUGAGCCCUCCAGAUUGUUUCAAUCAUUAUCAAAAAUCCAUUCACUAUUACCACCAACCAAAUAAUAGUGUAUAAAAAAAAGAGAGAGAGAGAACGAAAAAGAAAACCUAUAAAACCAUGAACGAUCGUACAUAUCUAAUGCCUAAGAAGCCACCUCCGCUCCUUUUUCCCCACGCCCGACAAAAACUAUCUCCCAUCAUCCCUACCAGGGCCCCUACUGGACUUCCUCUUCCCAUAAUCCACCCAACUCCCCCUAUUCCCCGCCGCUAGCACAAACCCCG